AGAAAAACAAGUUUCUCAGAAUUGCAGAGACAAUGGGCUCCAUGGAGGUGCAGGUAUAGCUGGGAGGGAGGACCUGCUAUCUCGACGUGCUGCCUGGCUGCUUUCAAUUUCUGAUGGGUAAAAAAUAGACAGCAAGAGCAGGAAGACUUGCAGGCAAGCCUUUCAUAGAAGUGGCUCCCUUCUGCAUUUCCUAUGUCUUUUCAGAAAGGACAAUGGCUGAAGUAUCACAAGUGGGUGACCACUUCUUACUUAUGCAGAAUUGCCAUUCCGUGUUCCCUUCAGUCUGCACUGGAGUAGAUUUUGAGUCUGGGAAAUCAGUAAACAGAAGAAAGGGUUGACUGAGAAGCCCAGCACCUGUGAAUAUAUGAAAGUUUAUAAUGGGUGUUUGCUGCAGGCCAAUAACAUUGUUGCCACCUCCAGUUCUCAGAUUCAGAUAUGGAAAUGGAGCAAAAGUACCUGAAGAUAUAGUAUUUGAUGUGUCUUAAUACAUCGUUUAGUUCCCGGGUAGCAGCUAAAGCAUAUUAUGUUGUCUCAUGACUUACAUUGUUUUUUACCUGUCUUAAUUUAUUGGAACAUCUUUUUCUGUGUGUUCUGAUACAAGAACCCCUGAGACUGGGUGUUUUAUAAUGAAUAGGAAUUCAUUGGCUCAUGUCUCUGAAAGGUGGGAAGCCCAAGAUCAAAGGCAGCAUCUUGUGUGGAUCUUCUUGCUACAUCAUCUCAUAGUUGAAGGGCAAAGUAUAGACAAGAGAGAUAAAAAGCAACCUGAACGGAUCCUUUAUACAGAAUGUAGUGUUGCAAUAAUAGCACUAAUCUACUCAAAAGGGGGAGGCCUCAAGGCCCAGUCACUUCUUAAAUGUCCCACCUCUUAAUACUGUUGUAAUGGCAAUUAAAUUUUAGCAUCAAGUUUUGAAGGAGAUACUCAAUACACAGCACAAUCAUAUAGGUAAAUGAGGUAAUAAAAGCUCACUUGUGUGUAUGAAGUUAGAUGUUUUGUUCUGUUGAUGGCUUUUAAGCACCGAUUAACAUAAAAUUUUGCUGAGUAACCAAAAUGGAAGAAAUAAUUCUGAUGGGAGAUAAAAAGAGCUUGGUUUUAAAAUAGUCUGAAGGAAAGGGGUAGAUUUUCUAGGUUCCGAACCUGAGAGGACUGAUUGUGCUUACUCUGUGUACACAAAUAAUACUUUAAUUUAGGUGUACCUAUAUUCUAAUUUGGGGUUUUUUUAUGAGACAUGCUCAGGCAUACUAUGUAGCUCAAAUUAGUAUGUAGCCAGGAAUAACCUUGAACUUCUGAUCCUGCUUCCACUUCCCAGGUGCUGGGAUUCCAGGCUUGGGCCGCUAUAUUGAUUUUUGCAGAACCAGGAAUAGAACCCAGGCAUUUGUGUAUACUACACAAGCACUCUACCAAUUGACUUACUCCCAGCCCUAACUUGUAUUUUUCUUAAGGCAGAUGAAAAUCAAAACUAGGAGUACUGGUAACCCUACUUAAGACACAGCAAGGUUAAUAGUUUCCUAAGUUAGAAAUUCCUAGCAGCUUAGCAGAAAUUCAUUUAACAAACUUUAAUGUGAUAGUUUAAGUUAUAUUGAUAAAAAUGAGGUCUGUAGACACCUGCACAUGAUAAAACACAUGGUCUUAAGCAUUAUAUUUAUUGAUUCUAGAGAUUAAAAAAGCCCUCAUCAACUUGUACAAUAUGGUUGUCUAGAUCAUCACUGUUAAGAAACAACACAGUAGAGCAGAUUUUAAAUUUCAGUUAAUAAUUUCAGAAAAUAUCCUGCAGUCUUUUAGUACAGUCAACUUCCCCAGGUAAUGGACAUAUAUGAGUGAUCUUGGAAGGAAUACUGUUUAAAGAUUUAUUCUUAUUAUUUAAAAAAAUAUGUGUAUGCAUGUAGGGGGAUGUCUAUGUGAGUGCAGUUGCCUGUGGAGGCCAGAAGAAGUCAUCGUAUUCUCUAGAGCUGGAGUUGCAGACAGUUGUGAGCUACUGACAUAGGUGUUGGGAACUGAAUUUAGGUUGCUAUUAAUCUUUGAGUCAUCUCUCCAGCCCCAGAAUACAAUUUAAAAGGAAGUGAUGGUUCCUCUAAUCCCCUACUCUGUCGGCUGUGGCAAGAGGGCUGUAGUAAGUUUGAAGCUAGCCUGGUCUAUAAGUGAGUUCAAGGCCAGACUAGGUUACAGAAUGAGACCCUGUUUCAA